UACAGAGGUGGCAAGCGUUGUUCGGAAUUACUGGGCGUAAAGGGCGCGUAGGCGGUCUUGUAAGUCUUGUGUGAAAUCCCUCGGCUUAACUGAGGAACUGCACGGGAUACUGCGAGACUUGAGAUCGGGAGAGGGAAGCGGAAUUCCGGGUGUAGCGGUGAAAUGCGUAGAUAUCAGGAGGAACACCGGUGGCGAAGGCGGGUCUCUGGGCCGAUACUGACGCUGAUGCGCGAAAGCCAGGGGAGCAAACGGG
rnacentral:rRNA from 1 species